rnacentral:rRNA from 1 species
GACGAACGCUGGCGGCGUGCUUAACACAUGCAAGUCGAACGGUGAUGCUCCAGCUUGCUGGAGUGGAUCAGUGGCGAACGGGUGAGUAACACGUGAGCAAUCUGCCCCUGACUCUGGGAUAAGCGCUGGAAACGGCGUCUGAUACUGGAUACGAGCUGCGAAGGCAUCUUCAGCAGCUGGAAAGAACUUCGGUCAGGGAUGAGCUCGCGGCCUAUCAGCUUGUUGGUGAGGUAACGGCUCACCAAGGCGUCGACGGGUAGCCGGCCUGAGAGGGUGACCGGCCACACUGGGACUGAGACACGGCCCAGACUCCUACGGGAGGCAGCAGUGGGGAAUAUUGCACAAUGGGCGAAAGCCUGAUGCAGCAACGCCGCGUGAGGGACGACGGCCUUCGGGUUGUAAACCUCUUUUAGCAGGGAAGAAGCGAAAGUGACGGUACCUGCAGAAAAAGCGCCGGCUAACUACGUG